UACGUAGGGGGCAAGCGUUGUCCGGAUUUAUUGGGCGUAAAGAGCGUGUAGGCGGCCAGAUAGGUCAGCUGUGAAAACUCGAGGCUCAACCUCGAGACGUCGGUUGAAACCGUAUGGCUAGAGUCCGGAAGAGGAGAGUGGAAUUCCCGGUGUAGCGGUGAAAUGCGCAGAUAUCGGGAAGAACACCCGUGGCGAAGGCGGCUCUCUGGGACGGUACUGACGCUGAGACGCGAAAGCGUGGGGAGCGAACAGG
rnacentral:rRNA from 1 species